GCUUACGACCAUACCACGUUGAAUGCACGCCAUCCCGUCCGAUCUGGCAAGUUAAGCAACGUUGGGCCGUGGUUAGUACUUGGAUCGGAGACGGCUUGGGAAUCCCAGGUGUUGUAAGCU
rnacentral:rRNA from 1 species